UAGAGUUUGAUCCUGGCUCAGGACGAACGCUGGCGGCGUGCUUAACACAUGCAAGUCACGGGGGCCCGCAAGGGCAACCGGCGAACGGGUGCGUAACACGUGAGCAAUCUGCCGAUCUCUGGGGGAUAGCCGGCCCAACGGCCGGGUAAUACCGCAUACGUUCUCGAGGGGGAGUCCUCUUGAGAAGAAACCUCCGGGGGAGAUCGAGGAGCUCGCGACCUAUCAGCUAGUUGGCGGGGUAACGGCCCACCAAGGCAUCGACGGGUAGCUGGUCUGAGAGGAUGGCCAGCCACAUUGGGACUGCGACACGGCCCAGACUCCUACGGGAGGCAGCAGUGGGGAAUUUUGGACAAUGGGGGAAACCCUGAUCCAGCCAUUCCGCGUGAGUGAAGAAGGCCUUCGGGUUGUAAAGCUCUUUUGUCCGGAGCGAAACGGAUGACGUGAAUAUCGUCGUCUACUGACGGUACCGGAAGAAUAAGCACCGGCUAACUACGUGCCAGCAGCCGCGGUAAU
rnacentral:rRNA from 1 species